AGCGAACGCUGGCGGCAGGCUUAACACAUGCAAGUCGAACGAAGCCUUCGGGCUUAGUGGCGGACGGGUGAGUAACACGUGGGAACGUACCUUUUGGUUCGGAACAACACAGGGAAACUUGUGCUAAUACCGAAUGAGCCCUUAGGGGGAAAGAUUUAUCGCCAUUAGAGCGGCCCGCGUUGGAUUAGCUAGUUGGUGGGGUAAAGGCCCACCAAGGCUACGAUCCAUAGCUGGUCUGAGAGGAUGAUCAGCCACACUGGGACUGAGACACGGCCCAGACUCCUACGGGAGGCAGCAGUGGGGAAUCUUGCGCAAUGGGCGAAAGCCUGACGCAGCCAUGCCGCGUGAAUGAUGAAGGUCUUAGGAUUGUAAAAUUCUUUUACCAGGGACGAUAAUGACGGUACCUGGAGAAAAAGCUCCGGCUAACUUCGUGCCAGCAGCCGCCGUAA
rnacentral:rRNA from 1 species